GGAAGCGUGCCAGAGUGGUUGAAUGGGGCAGUCUUGAAAACUGCUAGACCUGCAAAGGUCUCAGAGGUUCGAAUCCUCUCGCUUCCGCCA
rnacentral:tRNA from 1 species